UACGGGGGGGGCAAGCGUUGUUCGGAAUUACUGGGCGUAAAGGGCUCGUAGGCGGCCAACUAAGUCGGACGUGAAAUCCCCAGGCUCAACCUGGGGACUGCGUCCGAUACUGGAUGGCUUGAAUCCGGGAGAGGGAUGCAGAAUUCCAGGUGUAGCGGUGAAAUGCGUAGAUAUCUGGAGGAACACCGGUGGCGAAGGCGGCAUCCUGGACCGGCAUUGACGCUGAGGCGCGAAAGCCAGGGGAGCAAACGGG
rnacentral:rRNA from 1 species